rnacentral:rRNA from 1 species
UCGAGGGGUAUUGUUCUUCGGAAUAAGAGACCGGCGCACGGGUGCGUAACGCGUAUGCAAUCUACCUUUUGCAGAGGGAUAGCCCAGAGAAAUUUGGAUUAAUACCUCAUAGUAUGUGAGAAUGGCAUCAUUUUCACAUUAAAGUCACAACGGCAAAAGAUGAGCAUGCGUCCCAUUAGCUAGUUGGUAAGGUAACGGCUUACCAAGGCUACGAUGGGUAGGGGUCCUGAGAGGGAGAUCCCCCACACUGGUACUGAGACACGGACCAGACUCCUACGGGAGGCAGCAGUGAGGAAUAUUGGACAAUGGGCGCAAGCCUGAUCCAGCCAUGCCGCGUGCAGGAUGACGGUCCUAUGGAUUGUAAACUGCUUUUGCACAGGAAGAAACAACGCUACGUGUAGCGUCAUGACGGUACUGUGAGAAUAAGGAUCGGCUAACUCCGUGCCAGCAGCCGCGGUAAUACGGAGGAUCCAAGCGUUAUCCGGAAUCAUUGGGUUUAAAGGGUCCGUAGGCGGUUUAGUAAGUCAGUGGUGAAAGCCCAUCGCUCAACGGUGGAACGGCCAUUGAUACUGCUAGACUUGAAUUAUUAGGAAGUAACUAGAAUAUGUAGUGUAGCGGUGAAAUGCUUAGAGAUUACAUGGAAUACCAAUUGCGAAGGCAGGUUACUACUAAUGGAUUGACGCUGAUGGACG